rnacentral:rRNA from 1 species
AACGAACGCUGGCGGCAUGCCUAACACAUGCAAGUCGAACGAAGGCUCCGGCCUUAGUGGCGCACGGGUGCGUAACGCGUGGGAAUCUGCCCUUUGGUUCGGAAUAACAGCUGGAAACGGCUGCUAAUACCGGAUGAUGACGAAAGUCCAAAGAUUUAUCGCCGGAGGAUGAGCCCGCGUUGGAUUAGGUAGUUGGUGGGGUAAAGGCCUACCAAGCCGACGAUCCAUAGCUGGUCUGAGAGGAUGAUCAGCCACACUGGGACUGAGACACGGCCCAGACUCCUACGGGAGGCAGCAGUGGGGAAUAUUGGAAAAUGGGCGCAAGCCUGAUCCAGCAAUGCCGCGUGAGUGAUGAAGGCCCUAGGGUUGUAAAGCUCUUUUACCCGGGAAGAUAAUGACUGUACCGGGAGAAUAAGCCCCGGCUAACUCCGUG